GUGCUCACUUCAGUAACACAUAUGCUAAAAUUGGAACAAUACGGAGAAGAUUAGUGUGGCUCCUGUGCAAGGAUGACAUGCAAAUUCUUGAAGUGUUCCAUACUACU